AGUGAACGCUGGCGGUAGGCCUAACACAUGCAAGUCGAACGGCAGCACAGUAAGAGCUUGCUCUUACGGGUGGCGAGUGGCGGACGGGUGAGGAAUACAUCGGAAUCUACUUUUUCGUGGGGGAUAACGUAGGGGAACUUACGAUAAUACCGCAUACGACCUACGGGUGAAAGCAGGGGAUCUUCGGAGCUUGCGCGGAUGAAUGAGCCGAUGACGGGUUAGCUAGUUGGCGGGGGAAAGGCCCACCAAGUCGACGGUCCGUAGCUGGGCUGGGAGGAUGAUCAGCCACACUGGAACUGAGACACGGUCCAGACUCCUACGAGAGGCAGCAGUGGGGAAUAUGGGACAAUGGGCGCAAGCCUGAUCCAGCCAGACCGCGUGGGUUAAGAAGGCCUUCGGGUUGUAAAGCCCGUUUGUUGGGAAAGAAAAGCAGCAGGUUAAUACCCCGCUGUUCUGACGGUACCCAAAGAAUAAGCACCGGCUAACUUCGUG
rnacentral:rRNA from 1 species